CCCUUAGAUGUCCUGGGCCGCACGCGCGCUACACUGAACGGAUCAGCGCGUUUUCCCUUCCCGAGAGGGACGGGUAACCUGCUGAACCCCGUUCGUGGUAGGGAUCGGGGCUUGCAAUUAUUCCCCGUGAACCAGGAAUGCCCAGUAAGUGCAAGUCAUAAGCUUGCGUUGAUUACGUCCCUGCCCUUUGUACACACCGCCCGUCGCUACUACCGAUUGAGUGAUCCGGUGAAUAAUUCGGACUGCAGCACUGCUUGGUCUCCAGGCUUUGCAGCGGAAAGUUUAGUGAACCUUAUCACUUAGAGGAAGGAGAAGUCGUAACA
rnacentral:rRNA from 1 species